GACGAACGCUGGCGGCGUGCUUAACACAUGCAAGUCGAACGGAAAGGCCCUGCUUGCAGGGUACUCGAGUGGCGAACGGGUGAGUAACACGUGGGUGAUCUGCCCUGCACUUCGGGAUAAGCCUGGGAAACUGGGUCUAAUACCGGAUAGGAGCCAUUUUUAGUGUGAUGGUUGGAAAGUUUUUUCGGUGUAGGAUGAGCUCGCGGCCUAUCAGCUUGUUGGUGGGGUAAUGGCCUACCAAGGCGGUGACGGGUAGCCGGCCUGAGAGGGUGGACGGCCACAUUGGGACUGAGAUACGGCCCAGACUCCUACGGGAGGCAGCAGUGGGGAAUAUUGCACAAGGGGCGCAAGCCUGAUGCAGCGACGCCGCGUGGGGGAUGACGGCCUUCGGGUUGUAAACUCCUUUCGCUAGGGACGAAGCUUUUUGUGACGGUACCUAGAUAAGAAGCACCGGCUAACUACGUG
rnacentral:rRNA from 1 species